UUCCUACACCCAGUAGGCCCUUUUAGGACCCCUUCUCCCGGGUUGAGAGUUCCUUCCUUGUGUCCUUCUCACCCCCAACCUAGGAGGCAAAGGACCCCGUGGAGUUCCUAUUCUGAGUUUCCGCAGCAGACGCUCUACUUGAACGAACAUGGCAAGACUCUCGCACUCGGUGGCCAGGUAGACACUGGCGGUAAGGACUGACCAGGAGUGACAACACCAACCCGACCAAGAACAUGGUCUCCCACCUUAUCUGUGGAGCUGGGUGCCCCCUGGUGGCCGCAGUGUUGACUUAGGUUUUAGGCUAGCUUUCCCAGCCUAUGUCCGCGUGCCAGAGGAGGCCAGCUGGUCUCAUCACUGCUCGUCUGGGAGAACGUACUCAGCUUGGACCUUCGGGUGACCAUGCUGAAGGAGGUGUGGGUCAGGCUGAGGUGUUUGGUCCUAGACUCCGUUUUCUAUGACACAAAACUUGGGAAACCCACAGUGACCUAGCAUAGGGGUUCUGGGACUAGACAUUUAUAGCCAUCUAUAUGGUUUGGGACAUGAAUACGUGGAGCCCAGAGCAUCAUGAUAAAGCAACUGAGCAGCUGCUGAGGAGGUUCGGGAGAGGUGGCUCCGUAGGGGCUCCUGUGGUUUGCUCCCAGAAACUGCGACAAUGACACAUUCAUCAGUGGCUGUUUUGUAGCCCUCACCUGGCAUCUUUGGCAGAGAUGGAUUCCCCUACUCAGUGAGUGAGGGACUCUGAGGAGGUUGGCCUAGAAGAAGGAAAGAGGGAGGGGACAGACAGAGAGGGGAUCAAUCGGGAAUCUCGCCUCUUCUUGGUCUUGCCCUCUUCUCCCCUUGUCACAGAUCUGUGCAAGUCAUCAAGUCUCCAGUGUCACGAAUAACUGGUUUCUGUGCAAAACUCUAUGUUGGGAGGGCUGCAUCUGGGUGAGAAUGCAUUACACCUGGAUUUCUGAAUCUGCAAAUUGAGAACAAUAGCAAUCCGUACUUCACCCGGUUAUUUUGCAAAUACAACAUAGGCGGGGCUGCCGAAUGGCUGAACUUCAACCAGACCUGGAGCACCUUGUGAGAUGAUACCCGAGAGGAAGAAGGUGGGACGAGACGGUGACCCAGGCUGCCCCUCCAUACCUACAUGAGGGUGGGCAGGCAGGGUGUGUGACCUCUCAUACCCCAGUCACAUCCUCUCA
rnacentral:lncRNA from 1 species